ACUGUACCGUACAUUUGACGUUUCUGUUGCAAAAUUCAGAAAACCCCCAAAAUCAAACUACGCGGCAAACUGGCACCAAAAAUAUGGAGGGGACGCCGCAAUCGAAACCCUAAGAACCAGAGGGUGGUGCUUCGGCGACCUCGAACAAGUGGAGGAGAAGAUCCUGAUCUACCCAGCCUUGUCCGACGACACGCGUACGGUAGUGAACUCAGUGGAAGCCGAGCUCACCAACAUGAACCUUAAAUCCAUCUCCGCCAGGUCCAUGCCCGACCCGCAUACGCUCCUAAGGUCCUCUCACCUCCUCCAGGUAAAUCACACCUCUCUGUGUUUCUCGUUAAUUUUUUCUUUGGUUGCUGAGAAAAUAGAUAAAGAGAAAGAAAAAUGUGGUCUUUCCUUUGUGUUUUGUUAUCAAAUGGCUUGGGUAAGGGACGUUGCUAAAAGCAGUAUGGAGGAUUUUUCGAGGAAUUUGAGUCGUCGGCGGCUUUUGAUGCCUGACGAUCCCUGACGACGGCCACAGCUGUGGAGUACUCUCAUACCCCGGCAAUCCCUGACGACGUCGUUCCUGGAACUAAGGUCUGUUUGGAAGGUAAAGUUACUGUACGUAACGGAAUAGUUUGUUUGAGUCCUAAAGUUGUGACUGUGUUGGGAGGUGUUGUUCAAUCACUUAACGAAGAAUGGCAGAUGAAUACAAAAUAUUCCGAGUUUUCACAUUCAUCUUUAAGGAUUUCACAGGAAAGUGAUGGUAACGGCCCCUCUCCAUUUGAGAAGUUGCAAGUUGGGGCAGCUAAAAGUCGGUUUCCUGAGCAGGACAAGUUUUCACAUCAGUAUUCUUGAGCUAUUGAUUUCAUAAUAUUAGUUUAUGUCUUUUAACAUAAUGUUAAACCACUCAUUAUUGCUAUUGCAUGCAUAUCUCAUGGGCAAGAUGCAAUCAUUGGCAGAUUACUCUGAUGUUAGCUCCAAGAGUACUGAGCCUAUUGCCAGAAUUAUUGAGGGUAGACCAGUUGGAAGACGGUGGAAUCUUCAAUUGAAAGCAAAUGAUGAGGAUAAAUUUUAUAAAAAAAGUGAGACAGGUAACACUCGUAAGGCAGAUUCCUUUGAUGAAAGAACUCAAGACAAAAGAAGGUGGAUUUAAAUUUGUGUCCAACUUGUAGCUUGUUAUUAAAUUUUACUAUUAACCUAUGCAGCAUCCGGGUUUUGUGUAGUAUUAAGCUUAAUUUUAUGUCAUCUAGUUGUGGGGAAGGGGUCGAGAAGCGACCGGUGUUUUUACACUUCGAUUUGUUCACUAAUUAUUUCUACUGGUGCGUAUAUAGUUGUAGAAGUUUUGUCUGUAUCAACGUCAACAAUCAUGUAAAAUGGAAUUAUACUUGAAUCACCCAAGAAACACAUUUAGUUAACUUAUUUAUUAUAAAUGUUCUACAUUUUUUAAUUCGUAAUUUAAUGAUGAUGUAUUAUGGAUUCCACAAAAAUUGAAGCUGUCCCUGUUCAAAACCCAGCGGCCGCACAAAAGCUUCUUAAAAAAAAUGAGACAUCAAAACCGGGAUGACAUGCAUUCAAGAGGCAGACCGUUUGGGGGAAAGAGGAUUGCUUGAUUUUGUCAUUUCUUUUGUUCUCAUCACACUUUACUCUGUUUGGUAAUUUUUGUUCUUGAGAUGAAUAUGGUGAUGGUGAAACCGUAGCUUCCAAUCUUUGAAUUUUGGUGGUUUAGCUACAUUUGCACUGAUUUGCUGAACAAGAGUUUUGUCUCGUUAUGUUGUAAUUAUAGAUGUUCCCUUUGUAAGUCAGAUAGAAAUUGUUACGCCAACAAAGAUCUCUCUCUCUUUUUUUUUUCUUUUUUUCUUUUUUCAAUCGAAAUCCUACAAAGAUAUCAAAGCUAUAUUUGAUGAUUUCUUGUUUUAUUUUUAUUUAUUUUUUAACUUUGUGACAUCUUAAUUUGAUGGUGUUUACAGAAGGGCACAACAUGGGCUGGGGUUUGAUCUUAACAGGAACAGCUCUAUGAUGUUACAAACAACUUCCGUCUGCAGUUUUGGAGAAUCAACAGGACUAUUUUUUGAUUGUGCAAACGCGUUCAUCGACUUCAAAGGUAGUAGAAAGGGCAUCCAUUCGCCAACAAAAAUUUCAAAUUUGUUGGUAAAUUUGUGAUUGUACGAAGUUGCUCGCAGUGACGUAACCGUAGAGUUUCAAGCUUUGAAAGACCACUGAGACUGGGUAGGGUAUGAAAAAAUUUCCAU